AGAGUUUGAUCCUGGCUCAGGACGAACGCUGGCGGCGCGCCUAACACAUGCAAGUCGAACGAGAGAGAGGGAGCUUGCUUCCUUGAUCGAGUGGCGAACGGGUGAGUAACGCGUGAGGAACCUGCCUCAAAGAGGGGGACAACAGUUGGAAACGACUGCUAAUACCGCAUAAGCCCACGACCCGGCAUCGGGAAGAGGGAAAAGGAGCAAUCCGCUUUGAGAUGGCCUCGCGUCCGAUUAGCUAGUUGGUGAGGUAACGGCCCACCAAGGCGACGAUCGGUAGCCGGACUGAGAGGUUGAACGGCCACAUUGGACUGAGACACGGCCCAGACUCCUACGGGAGGCAGCAGUGGGGAAUAUUGCACAAUGGGGGAAACCCUGAUGCAGCGACGCCGCGUGGAGGAAGAAGGUCUUCGGAUUGUAAACUCCUGUUGUUGAGGAAGAUAAUGACGGUACUCAACAAGGAAGUGACGGCUAACUACGUGCCAGCAGCCGCGGUAAAACGUAGGUCACAAGCGUUGUCCGGAAUUACUGGGUGUAAAGGGAGCGCAGGCGGGCGAUCAAGUUGGAAGUGAAAUCCAUGGGCUCAACCCAUGAACUGCUUUCAAAACUGGUCGUCUUGAGUAGUGCAGAGGUAGGCGGAAUUCCCGGUGUAGCGGUGGAAUGCGUAGAUAUCGGGAGGAACACCAGUGGCGAAGGCGGCCUACUGGGCACCAACUGACGCUGAGGCUCGAAAGUGUGGGUAGCAAACAGGAUUAGAUACCCUGGUAGUCCACACCGUAAACGAUGAUUACUAGGUGUUGGGAGAUUGACCCUCUCAGUGCCGCAGUCAACACAAUAAGUAAUCCACCUGGGGAGUACGACCGCAAGGUUGAAACUCAAAGGAAUUGACGGGGGCCCGCACAAGCAGUGGAGUAUGUGGUUUAAUUCGACGCAACGCGAAGAACCUUACCAAGUCUUGACAUCCCUUGACGAUGCUGGAAACAGUAUUUCUCUUCGGAGCAAGGAGACAGGUGGUGCAUGGUUGUCGUCAGCUCGUGUCGUGAGAUGUUGGGUUAAGUCCCGCAACGAGCGCAACCCUUAUGGUCAGUUACUACGCAAGAGGACUCUGGCCAGACUGCCGUUGACAAAACGGAGGAAGGUGGGGAUGACGUCAAAUCAUCAUGCCCUUUAUGACUUGGGCUACACACGUACUACAAUGGCGUUAAACAAAGAGAAGCAAGACCGCGAGGUGGAGCAAAACUCAGAAACAACGUCCCAGUUCGGACUGCAGGCUGCAACUCGCCUGCACGAAGUCGGAAUUGCUAGUAAUCGUGGAUCAGCAUGCCACGGUGAAUACGUUCCCGGGCCUUGUACACACCGCCCGUCACACCAUGAGAGCCGGGGGGACCCGAAGUCGGUAGUCUAA
rnacentral:rRNA from 1 species